rnacentral:rRNA from 1 species
UACAGAGACCUCAAGCGUUAUCCGGAAUCAUUGGGCGUAAAGCGUACCUAUAGGUUGUUUAUUAAGUCUUGGGUAAAAGCCGGAAGCUCAACUUCCGCGUUUGCUUAAGAUACUAAUAGACUAGAGGGGCAAAGAGGUGCUUGGAACGAACGGUGUAGUAGUGAAAUGCGUUGAUAUCGUUCGGAACACCGAAAGCGAAGGCAGAGCACUGGGUGCCACCUGACACUGCUAGGACGAAAGCGUGGGGAGCGAAUGGG